GACGGAGGGUGCUAGCGUUGUUCGGAAUUACUGGGCGUAAAGGGCUCGUAGGCGGCCAACUAAGUCAUACGUGAAAUCCCUCAGCUUAACUGGGGAACUGCGUGUGAUACUGGAUGGCUUGGAUUUGGGAGAGGGAUGCGGAAUUCCAGGUGUAGCGGUGAAAUGCGUAGAUAUCUGGAGGAACACCGGUGGCGAAGGCGGCAUCCUGGACCAAUAUUGACGCUGAGGAGCGAAAGCCAGGGGAGCAAACGGG
rnacentral:rRNA from 1 species